CAUGAUUGGUUACUAAAUUUGGCACAAACACACGAGAGCAUCUAAACCCAGAGGCGUUUUCGAUUUCGUUGCCUCCCUUUUCCCUCCAUCCAACCGUUUCGUCAGAUAAACCCUAUUUUUACUGUCCGAGAGCUUCCAAGUAAAAUCCAAUAGAUUCAUAGAAAUAGCGAGAUAUGAGCUUAUCCCUUCUUCCGUCGAAAUCACCAUCAUCAUUUCUGUGCACGAACCCUUCUUUCUUCGCUAAGAGCUUCCAAUUCAUUGGCGUAUGUGCUUGAAAGAGGGCAUCGUCGGCCUUCCUAACGUCGGAAAACCCACACUCUUCAACACCAUUGUCAGUAUUUCUUUACAUCACACACGAGCUAUUUCGAUUCAUGAAAUUCAAUUCUCAAGUAUUGAUGGGGUAAUUGGUAUGGGUAGGUUCAUUACGAUUACGUUGUAUCAAACUUAGCCAUAGAAUUUCUGGAUAUCGCUGGGCUUGUGAAGGGCGCCAGUCAGGUUUUCUCAUUGCUGUUAUUUCUAGAAUUGAUUCGUGCAGGGGCUUGUUAAUAAGUUUUUAUCACAUAUUGGUAAGGUUGAUUCGAUUCUUCAGGUUUUUAUCUAUCCCCUUCAGACUGAUGUUUCGCAUUGCAUUGUUAGUUGUUUGUGAUGCUUGUUAAUGUUGUUACGGCCCCAACUCAAUAAGACAGGUCAUGAAUUAAAACUGCAGAAAAGUUGUAGUAGGGGCGAGGAAGGUAGUUCCUAAGGUUUUAUCUCUUAAACUUGUUGUUUUUGCACCAUAUAUUUUAUUUUGUUGGCAUCUUAGUCCUUGUAAAUGUUAUAUACCGUAUUACCCUUCAGUCUGUUGCACUUCUGCAAUGGUCUUUGAACAAUGAUUUCCAAGCAAUCAAAUUCAGUCCUCCUGAUCACCUGAACUAUUCUCCAGUAUGGAAUUGAGGCUAAGAUGUAACUAUUUAGACCACAUGCGCCUUGAAUUGUUUAAGAAUGGGGGAAAAAAUUGAAAAAGCAAGGUUGCUUUUGAGUCUAGUUAAGGUCCACUAAAAUAACAAACUGAUUAACUAGAGCUGUGUGUAUGGUGGAUCCCACAAUAAACUAAUACGAUAAGUUAACAAAAAGUGAUUCAUGGAUAAGACUACAAUAUCAAGCGCAUUAUUAGUGAUGGAUCCACUUGCCAUGUUAGCAUUGAGUCGGCCUUUUUUCAACACUUUAGACUUAAUAAUUUCACAUGAGCUCUAACUCUAAGAUUAGAUUAGAUGACUGAAAGGUAUAAACUGUUACAAUAUUUACUGCUUAUAUACAUAAUUGCUUGGGAUUUUUGUUUAGGGAUGGUAUUGCAAAACUGUAUUAUAGUUUGCAUUAAAAAUCUAGACAUAUGCAAUAGGUUUUGAAUUACCUUGUUUAAGAUUAAAGGGGUGGCCCAAUGUGUGAAGUAUCCCACAAUUGUUGGCUUUGGGGAAAGGUUGAUGUAUGCAGUCUUACUCAUGCUUUGCAGAGAGACAGUUGCCACGGCUCGAACCUGUGACCUCCAAGUCACAAAUGGAGUACUUCACUGUUACACAAAGUCACCCUCAUGCUGGUUUCAGAUUGAUGAAGACAAAUUAGGAUUCAUAAAUUAAGUAUCAGAGCUGGUUUAAUUGAGGGAUGGAAAGAAAUCAGAGGAAAAAAAAGGAAAAAAUAUGGCUCAUCCUCGAAGGUUCAAGGAAUGGUUUGCGCUGUUUUGAAGAUGAUGACAUUGUUCAUGUGAAUGGCAGAGUUGAUCCUAAGGCUGAUAUAGAUUUAAUCAAACUAGAACUCAUUUUGUCACAUUUGGACGAGGUAUGCUAAAGAGAGUGCGUACAGCACUGUUGUUUUUCUGUUUGUCUGUGCAUAAGAGAGGGUUCUUAAUGAUAUGCCUAACUGAGUAUUCUUAUUAUGUUUUAUCUUUGUCAGCUAUUGCAGUUCAUAGUCUUCUAGCAUUAUUGUUGCGGUUUUAUAUUUAUUAACCACUGCCAGAUAAGCUAAUACAACCAAAUUGUAUAUUUUGCAAGAAAUGCAGAUUGGGAAAAGAUUAGAGAAGCUUAAAAAAGGGAAGGAAAAGGAUUCACAAUCUAAACUCAAGGGCUUUUUUUUUAAUAUACAAAUAGCCUUUCUUAUUUGUACAGGUAGAUGCAUUGAUAAUAAAAGCUUGAUGGUUUUGAAUGUGUGAAUGCAAUUUUCUUGACAUCUGGAGGAAGCAGAAAAGUCUGCUUUGGAAAGGAUUCAUGGGGCACUGAUGGAUGGAAAACCAGCUUGAUCUUUAGAAGUGUCAGAUUUUGAAAAGGAUGUUGUAAAGCAUCUCUGGUUGCUUACCAUUAGGCCGGUCAUGUAUGUGGCAAAUGUUGCAGAAUCAGACCUAGCUGUUCCUGCAAAAAAGUGAUGAAUCUUGGAUCUAAAUUCCAAUCUGGACUGAUUGCAAUUUCAGCACAGGUUGAGUCAGAGCUUACUGAACAGCCUUUUGAAUACAAUGGAAUAUUUGAAAUUGCUUGGAGUUAGUACAGUGGCCUUGGAAACCCCAUUAGGGCAACAUAUAACCUUAUGGGGCCAUGUGACGUACAUACUUCUGGUGAAAAGAUGCGGAAGAAUGAUUUGGUACAUGCUUUCCUGAAAACUGUUUUGUUAAAUAUUUAAAGGAGUAUUUUCCAUAUUUUCGACAGGAAAAAAAGCAUGGCCCAUAUUAGCAGCUUAGUUUUGCUUUACUGAUUGUUGGACGUGCUCCAAGCAAGCACUAAUGUUUUUGUUCAACUUUGUCACUCAGAUAAGAAUUCAAUAACUUCCCGUUGAUUGAAAAUUCCUUUUGAAGAUCGAAAAUUAAAGGGGGGAUGACAUGGUGAUAGCCCAUGUACCUCUUGUGCCAUUGUGGUCAAGGGGAUUGUUGUCUGAGUACUCCCCUCUUGAUUCGGGAAUGACUGCACCUCAAGCAGCCGGAGUUAUACUGAGAAAGGUUUCACUUGAGCUGAGACGGUGUCCUAUGAUGAUUUUUGUUGCUGCUGGUUCGUCAGCAGCAACAAGGUUUUUAUGGGUGAGUUCCGUUGCUUUACUGUGUCAAUUUAUAUUCCGUCUCUGAAUUGCAACUUUUAUAUCAUUUUCUAUUCUCUUAAAGACUGGUUAUGUAGAGCAUUCUUCAUUGCCACAGUUGGGAUCUUAGGGUAAAAAUUACUUAGUUCAAGAAAGAGAUGUCAUGCUAUUUCGUUUCAGCAUUUAACGGUGGCACCAUUGAAGCUGAAUGUAUCUUCUUGCUUUUGUCUAUCUAACCAAAAUCAUUAUAUAGUGGCCGAAGAAGACAAUUAAGUGUCUUUCAUUAAUAUGUGAAGGAAUGUUCUUAGAAUUCUAUGGGCUAA